UUGAAAGAUUGAAAAAUGGCAUUUCCAGUCGUGUCCGUGCAUUUACUCAUGAACUCUUCAACCAAAGCUUCCCAAAUUUUAAUAUGUUGUUACUGAUGACAAAAUGGAGGUCAAGUUCAAUAAUGACGAUUUUGACUUUUACUGUUCAGGAGUUAUGGUUCUUGAAAGAUUGAAAAAUGGCUUUUCCAGUCGUGUCCGUGCAUUUACUCAUGAACUGUUCAACCAAAGCUUUUCAAAUUUUAAUAUGUUGUUACUGAUGACAAAAUGAAGGUCAAGUUCAAUAAUGACGAUUUUGACUUUUACCGUUCAGGAGUUAUGGUUCUUGAAAGAUUGAAAAAUGGCUUUUCCAGUCGUGUCCGUGCAUUUACUCAUGAACCAUUCAACUUAAGCUUUUCAAAUUUUAAUAUGUUGAUACUGAUGACAAAAU
rnacentral:lncRNA from 1 species